CCCUCCUCCACCCUGCCCUGUGCCUGGAGGCUCACCUUCAUCAGUGGGUCCACUGGCCCACCGGGUUCUGGACGAGUUUGGCUGAUGUGAGGACUGACAGGAGGUGGAGGGCAAGAGAGGAAAUUGAAAGGCAACAGGGUAUGGAUUCUCUCAACUUCCUGUCUGCCUGGCCACAGCUUCCUCAUUAAACUCUUCUCAGUCACUCCACUUGAGCACCCAAGCUGUUGCCUGCCAGAACACUGACUGAUCCAGGGGACAAGCAGGUUAUAAACAGAGAGAGACACAGAAUGUGAGCAGGGGAGGGUCAGAG